rnacentral:rRNA from 1 species
UCGUGUCGUGAGAUGUUGGGUUAAGGUCCGUAACGAGCGCAACCCUUGUCCUAGUUACCAGCACGUUAUGGUGGGCACUCUAAGGAGACUGCCGGUGACAAACCGGAGGAAGGUGGGGAGUGACGUCAAGUCAUCAUGGCCCUUACGGCCUGGGCUACACACGUGCUACAAUGGUCGGUACAAAGGGUUGCCAAGCCGCGAGGUGGAGCUAAUCCCAUAAAACCGAUCGUAGUCCGGAUCGCAGUCUGCAACUCGACUGCGUGAAGUCGGAAUCGCUAGUAAUCGUGAAUCAGAAUGUCACGGUGAAUACGUUCCCGGGCCUU